UAGAUUAUAUGAAAACUGUAUGUAUAUAUGUAUAUAUGUAUUGUUUUGUUAGGAAAGGACAAGAACGAAUAUUUCCUCUUUUUCUGAUAAUUGUUCUAAUCCUAUUCAUCCCGCUCUGUAUCCUCUUCACUCUCAACAUAACUGCCAAUAUGACUAGAUUCUCAAGAAUUUACAAUGAAAAAGUUGACAUUUUCAAGGCCGAGAAGAAGAAAACGGAGAAGCUGCUGAGUUCUCUGC